UUGACGCCAGGGACGGACCGAGGCAGAGCCGUGGCUCGACAUGUUGCCGGCGUCCUGAUCCGUGGAUCAGAUCCAGCGCUCUCCGGUAACGGCGGCACUGCCUGCAGUAAAUGCGGGGAGCCAGGGGCGUUGGGAGCAUCUUUCUCCUACCUUCAGCCUCAGGUUACCCGAUUGUUGACAGCGGCGACCCGGUGGGGAAAAUCUGCAGCGACUAGGCGACUGCGUGCUUGGGCAAGCAUGGAGUUCUUGAUGGAGCCCAUAAAUAGGCAGCAGGACUCUGCUAGAAGAGGUCAACGAGAACAACAUGAACAUGGAGCCUCUUCAUUACCCUGUGACGACGUCGCCGGUGGUGCGGUGGUGGAGUUGCCACUUGCCAGCCAGCACGGCAUCAAGCGCCAACGACCAGAUUUGCGCUGAGGGCGCUGUUCCAAGGGCAGGCUGUGCAGACAACCUCAAGCUUCACAGCACUCCAUCGAGCAGGUUGACCCAAAAACACCUGGGUGGACGCAAAGGAUCCGGAUUGGGGCAGCUGCGCUAGGCAGAGCCCCAUGUGCUGAUAGGAUUUCAGCGCUGGAGAAAAUUGUUCAAAGGUGAGACUUAUUUUGAGACGGAGGGAGUAGUUUGGAAGAAUGAUUUGACAUAGUUGGUGAUAUGUGUUUAAAGGAGCAAAUGUAGCUGGUAGUACGCUUUUCUGUAUGUUGCUUGUGCCUGGGUGGUACUUGACACUUCAACCAUGCUGAAUUGUUAGUCAGGAGGGAUUAUUUAUGUAUGAUAAAAGCACACAAGGCCACACCAAGAAAAAUUAGGAAAUUAGUGAGAGUGUUCAUGCCACAGUAGUAAAAGUGGCACUGUAGUUUUAUUGGGUUUAUGUAUACAUGAUUUGUGAACAAACUGUGCUGAAAAUCAUUUGUACGCCCUGGUUCUGUGUUGACAAUGUGAUUUACAUGGAGAGUUAGGAUUGUGGUUGUUGAGCCAGGCAGGGCGCCAUGCCUUACUAGGAUUUCUGCACUGGAGAAAUCAAUCCCGGGUUUUGCUGAAAAUCCUGGGCACAAUGUCAUUGUACCAAGAUUAGGAACAAGCUUUGAUGAACUAGUGGAGAAUACCAAAAUUAGAAAUCCUCGGUUCUGUGUUAACAAGGUGAAGCGUAUGAUUUUUACAAUCUGUGUUCGCGGGAGAAAGGAUUUUUGGCAUUAGGUGCGGCAAGAGCAGGCUAAGUGUGCAGAGCACAAAAUGCAUGCAAGAGAUAGUAUGGGGCUAUGCUGUAUAUAAUGAGAACAUGAUUUUCAGAAUUUCAUAUUAUACUAAUUGCUCACUGAAUUGUUCAUUACUUAAACUGAUUUUCAAUCAUUUUGGAUGCUGAUCGGGGAAAGGCAUUAGUGGAGAAUACUCGGUCCUGCUGUUGUCAGGUGAGUGCCCUGCUCUCACAAGGUUGUUGCAUUCAAAGGACACUGGUUGGUACAUAGCGGAGCAUCGUGAGGAGCACAACCAUUCGCUCCAACUUAUGGGCAGACAAUACGCUCGCAAUAACACAAUAUUAACGCGUACAGUUGGGAUUUUGUGAAACAAAUAAGGCAGAACAAUGUGAACCUUGUGAAAGUUUACAACAUUAUAGGCAGUUUUUUUGGGUCGAUGGAAAAUGUACCAUUCACAGAAAGAGCUCUAAGGAACUUGCGUGGCAAGAUAAACCAUGAGCAAGCAGAGUAUGACGUUAGGAAAACAAAGGAGGUGUUUCAUGAGCUUGGUUCAAAAGACCUGCAUUUCCCAUAUCGUGUUCAAACUGACAAAAGGGGGAUCAGCAGUCUGAUGUGGGCUAAUGGGAACAGCAUAUUACAGUAUACCUUCUUUGCCGAUGUUAUGAACUAGAUUCAACCAGAAUGUGCUAUGGUUGUUGCAGGAGACAGAGUGCAUGGUGCCACAGCUAACAAUGAUGACAGUUCAGCUAAUGAGUCAGGGAAUAGCCUAGUGGGAUUAUUGCCUCCAGCAAAGAGGAAGGAGAUGGGAAGGCCUACAAGCAGAGGGAUUUGAGCGUAAGGACAAGAUUCUGCACCAUUUGUCGGCGUCAGGGGCAUAAGCAGACAACCUGCCCAGAUCGCCGAGAUGUCCCAAAGCAAGCUCCGAGACCAGCACGCUGCAAGAAUUGUGGAGUUGAAGGUCACCGUUGCAACAACUACCACAAAGCAGCAGAACUUAUUAGACUCAAUAAAGCAUGAGCAGACCAAGUAGUCAGUGAAACUGUUAAGAUAAUUCCAAUGCUCUAUGUUUCAACAAUUUUCAGUUGUGUUGUACUAGUAUUUUAAUUAGUUGGUUGGUGUGUAAAGUAUGAGGGGAAAACCUUAGUUCAAUUAAGUCACUUCAUCAUGAGACUGUACUGAUGGUGUUUUAGGGGUGCUUCUGAUCUCAGGCGUUUGAGUCGUUGUAUAGGGAAACAUAAUUUCAGUCCUGCUUACUUUUGCUAGAUGAAUGAGCCAAAAAAAUUAAUACAGCAGCCAAUCAGGAGGGCUGCAUUUA